UGUGAGUAAGGGGCACAGCCAGUGCAAUUUAGCGUAUGUGAUGAAAUCAGAGCGACUCACAGAGCCUUGCUUAUCCCCAGAGAGGGUCCUUCCCUCGGUGCAUGGCCCAUGGGACCACAUGCUGGGACAAACACAUGCAUUGAUGAAGGGAACCAGACAGGUGUGAUAGGCCCACUGUCUGAUGAGUACCUGAUUACCAUGGCUCCAGAUACCAAGCAGCUCCAGGGUUUGUGCUGUUUUCUUGCCUCUUCACACGCCCCCUGUUGUCAUGGUGUUCUGAGCAGCGAGGAGUCGAGACCAGGGGGACCAAGGUGGCGACAACAGCAGGGGCAUCAGGUCAGCUGACAGAGGCAAACAGA